GAUGAACGCUGGCGGCGUGCCUAAUACAUGCAAGUCGAGCGAACAGACGAGGAGCUUGCUCCUCUGACGUUAGCGGCGGACGGGUGAGUAACACGUGGAUAACCUACCUAUAAGACUGGGAUAACUUCGGGAAACCGGAGCUAAUACCGGAUAAUAUAUUGAACCGCAUGGUUCAAUAGUGAAAGACGGUUUUGCUGUCACUUAUAGAUGGAUCCGCGCCGCAUUAGCUAGUUGGUAAGGUAACGGCUUACCAAGGCAACGAUGCGUAGCCGACCUGAGAGGGUGAUCGGCCACACUGGAACUGGGACACGGUCCAGACUCCUACGGGAGGCAACCGUAGGGAAUAUUUCCGAAUGGGGGAAAGCCUGACCGAGCCACGGCGGGUGAGUGAAGAAGGGCUUCGGAUUGUAAAACCUUUUUAUUAGGGAAGAAAAAAUGUGUAAGUAAACAUGCCAGUUUUGACGGUACCCAAACAGAAAGCCACGGCUAACUUCGUG
rnacentral:rRNA from 1 species